rnacentral:rRNA from 1 species
AAUGAACGCUGGCGGCAGGCCUAACACAUGCAAGUCGAACGGAUCCUUCGGGAUUAGUGGCGGACGGGUGAGUAACGCGUGGGAACAUACCCAAAGGUACGGAAUAGCCUCGGGAAACUGGGAGUAAUACCGUAUGUGCUCGAAAGAGGAAAGAUUUAUCGCCUUUGGAUUGGCCCGCGUUGGAUUAGGUAGUUGGUGGGGUAAUGGCCUACCAAGCCGACGAUCCAUAGCUGGUUUGAGAGGAUGAUCAGCCACACUGGGACUGAGACACGGCCCAGACUCCUACGGGAGGCAGCAGUGGGGAAUCUUAGACAAUGGGGGAAACCCUGAUCUAGCCAUGCCGCGUGAUCGAUGAAGGCCUUAGGGUUGUAAAGAUCUUUCAGGUGGGAAGAUAAUGACUGUACCACCAGAAGAAGCCCCGGCUAACUCCGUGCCAGCCGCCGCGGUAAAAC